rnacentral:piRNA from 1 species
UGGUUUAUGUUUAUUGUUUGUGAAAUGAA